GACAGAGCCUAGGGUCCCCCUCCCCUUCAACCUAGGCUGACCAGAAGGGCAGAGCAGAAGUAAUGCCAUGAAACUUCCAAGGCUGUCAGAAGACUACACCAUAGCUUUCCACCUGGCUCUCCGGGGAUGAUCAUUUUUAGAACCCAGCCAAGGUGGUUUUACUGGGGUUACAGGAAGAGGAGCCAAGCCCCCAGGCCCUCAGCCCCAGCUGAGGUCCCGGUCUACAGCUACCACCAACUCGCCAGCCAGCCCUAGGCCUUCCAGUGAUCUGCUUUGUCCAGUGGUGACAUGAGAAGGUAGGCAGAGCCUGCUGGUGACAUGUCUAAGCUAACCACUGUGAAAGUCACGGAAUGACCGCAGUAUUCAUCAACACGAGAGACUGAGCUUAUUAAAAAGAUCCUUGGUUUACUGUGAAACAAAAUGGCGGGAAACAAGCCACACCCUAAGCCAUGUGCCCUUGAACUCGUGUAGUGGUUCUCCAAGUGCGUCCUCGGCUCAGCAGCAGCAGCACCAUCUGGAAACUAGUGAAAAAUGCACAUCCUCAGGGACCAUGCUAGACCUGCUAUACCAGAAGCGGAUGGGAAGUCAUCAAGAGGGGAAGCUGCCUGCAUUUUAACAAGUCCUGUCGGUGAUACUGAGUCACACUGAAGUUUGAGCACCACACUUCAACUGUUCGUAAAGCACUUUGUACAGUGCCUGGUGUAUAUUCGUAGUUCAAUAAGUGAUAAUGAACCAUUGCUACAAAUAGAGGAACUUGACCCUGCUCUGCUACAGCGAGUUCAAUGUCUGUGAUGGAAACACUGGGGAUGCUGAUGAUGAUGAUGAGAAUGACUAAAUGACAACUGUUUACACAAGUGACUGGAAGGGGGAAGGAGACCAGAAGAUGCCCAAAUUCACAGCUGAGAAUUUAUAUGGCUAUCUCAGCAAAGUGUUGCCUCUGAAGCUAUCAGGGACACGAAGGCCUGAGAGGCCCUUUUUACACAGAACUUUUCUUUCUUUUAGGACUCACAGUCAUGAUUCUUCAUCCAGACACCUUUAGACACGUCAAAGAGAGGUUCUGGGGAUCCCUGGUCAAAGGCCAGCUCCUGAGCCCUCAUGUGGCCUUAGGAAUCCAACAAAGAAAGCCUGUCUCCCGAAUCAGGCUGAGCUUGCCUUGGGCCAGAGAAGAUGCACAGUCGCCUCACACAGGAAAGAUUCUCAGGCACAAGCCUGGGAAGAUCAGGCGGGUCUGACGCUCUGGGCUCUCUGACUCUUUGUGGAAGGCUUGUUCAGCUGCCCCAAAGAAGCUGUUAGGCUCUGGCCGCCUGUCAGCUCAAAACUUGCCUCCAAAGCUGCCCCAGGCGCUGGUCCACAGGAGGUCAUUUGCCUGUGUGUAAUUUGAUCCACUCCCUACCCUUCCCCUGCAAACUAUCUUUUCCAUGUUCACUUGCCAACUGGCUCCAGAGAAGACUGGUGGAUGGGAGACAGGAGGAAGCCAGAGUGCUUCUCCCCUUUCCUCUCUCUGCCCUGGAUGGUAUCUCCAAGUAGAGGCCUCUGAUAACAACAACCCCCCCUCUCUUUGUUCUACCAGCCUCAGGGGUGGUAGUGAUUUCCUGCUAGUGCUAAUCUCUGUGUGACAUCAUCAUCCCCUACUUGGGCUUUCUGGUCUUCCAAAGACUUUUAUAACUAAGUCCUGGCAUUAAAAGGCUUCUGUUUGA